AGUGAACGCUGGCGGUAGGCCUAACACAUGCAAGUCGAACGGCAGCACAGUAAGAGCUUGCUCUUACGGGUGGCGAGUGGCGGACGAGUGAGGAAUACAUCGGAAUCUACUUUUUCGUGGGGGAUAACGUAGGGAAACUUACGCUAAUACCGCAUACGACCUACGGGUGAAAGCAGGGGAUCUUCGGACCUUGCGCGGUUGAAUGAGCCGAUGUCGGAUUAGCUAGUUGGCGGGGUAAAGGCCCACCAAGGCGACGAUCCGUAGCUGGUCUGAGAGGAUGAUCAGCCACACUGGAACUGAGACACGGUCCAGACUCCUACGGGAGGCAGCAGUGGGGAAUAUUGGACAAUGGGCGCAAGCCUGAUCCAGCCAUACCGCGUGGGUGAAGAAGGCCUUCGGGUUGUAAAGCCCUUUUGUUGGGAAAGAAAAGCAGCAGGUUGAUACCCCGCUGUUCUGACGGUACCCAAAGAAUAAGCACCGGCUAACUUCGUG
rnacentral:rRNA from 1 species